rnacentral:SRP_RNA from 2 species
GCCGGGCGCGGUGGUUCACGCCUGUAAUCCUAGCACUUUGGGAGGCCGAGGCGGGUGGAUCACCUGAGGUCAGGAGUUCCAGACCAGCCUGGCCAACAUGGUGAAACCCCGUCUCUA